rnacentral:rRNA from 1 species
GACGAACGCUGGCGGCGUGCCUAAUACAUGCAAGUCGAACGAAGUGGGGACGGGUGAGUAACACGUGGGUAACCUCCCAUCAGAGGGGAUAACACUUGGAAAAAGGUGCUAAACCGAUAUAGGUGGAUGGACCCGCGGUGCAUUCGGUAGUUGGUGAGGUAACGGCUCACCAAGGCCACGAUUCAUAGCCGGCCUGAGAGGGUUAUGGGCCACACUGGGACGAAGACACGGCCCAGACUACUACGUGAGGCAGCAGUAGGGAAUCGUGGGCAAGGGACGAAAGUUUGACCGAGCAACGCCGCGGGUGUGAAGAAGGUUUUCGGAUCGUAAAACUCUGUUGUUAGAGAAGCGGUACCUAACCAGAAAGCCACGGCUAACUACGUGCCAGCAGCCGCGGUAAUUC